CAGUAGCCACGGUAAUACGAAGGGUGCAAGCGUUACUCGGAAUUACUGGGCGUAAAGCGUGCGUAGGUGGUGGUUUAAGUCCGUUGUGAAAGCCCUGGGCUCAACCUGGGAAUUGCAGUGGAUACUGGGUCACUAGAGUGUGGUAGAGGAUAGUGGAAUUUCCGGUGUAGCAGUGAAAUGCGUAGAGAUCGGAAGGAACAUCUGUGGCGAAGGCGACUAUCUGGGCCAACACUGACACUGAGGCACGGAAGCGUGGGGAGCAAACAGGAUUAGAUACCCCUGUAGUCCCUGUCUCUUAUAA
rnacentral:rRNA from 1 species